CUGAGCUGCAGGCCGGGGGGGCACGCUGCCACCGCUUGGGUGGGUGUUCUGCCCGUGUCAGACCGAGAGAAGCAUCCAUACCCCAAAACAGAGCAAACAAACAGCAAAGCCUUCUCUGCACAAACUAGAGGCUUACGCAACCUCUUGGAAAAUGAUGGGUGUUCCAAACCAGCAAAAGAUUCCUGGCACAGCUGCAGAGCUAGGUCUGCCAUCUUAUGGAGCCUGAAUGGUACUACCAAAUAACAGAAUGUGGAACUACGUGUUCAAAUCAGGAGAAUAGUUUGCAUUUUCUCCUUUUCAGUAAGACCAGCUCCUUCCCCUCAUCCAAUUCCACUCCGUCCAUGUUCCAUGUCUUACCUUAUCUUUUACCCAAAGUCUUGGAAAAGCUGACUCUUGUGAUGCUGCUGUGGCAGGGCAGUGAUGCUGGAGAGUCAAGAGGUGCUGGCCGGGUCAGAAGCAAGUUACUGCCCAUCUUGGCUGGUGUUUGUCACUAAUAUUACAUGGCUCCAGGUGUCGAGUAGCUUACCCAUGGGUUAGACUUGUU
ensembl:lncRNA